UGGAUCUAUAUUACCUACAGGUGUGGAUCUACAGGUGUGGAUCUAUAUUAUCUACAGGUGUGGAUCUAUAUUAUCUACAGGUGUGGAUCUAUAUUACCUACAGGUGUGGAUCUACAGGUGUGGAUCUAUAUUACCUACAGGUGUGAAUCUAUAUUACCUAC